UACGUAGGGUGCAAGCGUUGUCCGGAAUUAUUGGGCGUAAAGAGCUCGUAGGCGGUCUGUCGCGUCUGCUGUGAAAACUCGGGGCUUAACCCCGGGCCUGCAGUGGGUACGGGCAGACUAGAGUGCGGUAGGGGAGACUGGAAUUCCUGGUGUAGCGGUGAAAUGCGCAGAUAUCAGGAGGAACACCGGUGGCGAAGGCGGCAUCCUGGACCGGCAUUGACGCUGAUGAGCGAAAGCUAGGGGAGCAAACGGG
rnacentral:rRNA from 1 species